GUAAGGAAUAUUGGUCAAUGGGCGCAAGCCUGAACCAGCCAUGCCGCGUGCAGGAAGACGGCCCUCCGGGUUGUAAACUGCUUUUGUACGGGAAUAAACCUCUCUACGUGUAGGGAGCUGAAUGUACCGUAAGAAUAAGGAUCGGCUAACUCCGUGCCAGCAGCCGCGGUAAUACGGAGGAUCCAAGCGUUAUCCGGAUUUAUUGGGUUUAAAGGGUGCGUAGGCGGCCUGUUAAGUCAGGGGUGAAAGACGGUGGCUCAACCAUCGCAGUGCCCUUGAUACUGAUGGGCUUGAAUAGACUAGAGGUAGGCGGAAUGUGACAAGUAGCGGUGAAAUGCAUAGAUAUGUCACAGAACACCGAUUGCGAAGGCAGCUUACUAUGGUCUGAUUGACGCUGAGGCACGAAAGCGUGGGGAUCGAACAGGAUUAGAUACCCUGGUAGUCC
rnacentral:rRNA from 1 species